GCCCUCUUUCUGUUGUCCUACUGUGAAACACUCAGCAGUGCAAUAUUAAAAGGGCAU
ensembl:miRNA gmo-mir-130a gmo-mir-130a